CACUCAGUCCCCAGUCACCCAAGGGGCAGCUUGCAGCUUGCAGUAACAAAAUGUCCUUUCUCUUCAGAGCUGAGGAGGGACUCCACAACUUAUUAUACCUAACCAAAAUCCAUUUCUGAAGCCAACGGGGAGAGCACCUCAGCAGACAGCCUUUAAUCCAUUCAGCUUAGGUUUUCUUCUUCUGAGAAUCUUUUAAUGUCAUUUAUAUACAAAAGAAAUUCUCAAAUGUUAAAAUAAAGGAAUAGUUUAUUGCUUAAUAUAACUUAUCAUCACUUUGCUUCUUUACUGAAUCUUCUACACUCUUGCCUGAUACCUAAAUUUAAUGUUUGUUUUUAACUCAAAAAAUGUACUGUAGUAUGGAAAAUGGAUAGCAGUAGAAUAAAGUCUUAAGAUUAUUUUUUAAU
rnacentral:lncRNA from 1 species